rnacentral:tRNA from 1 species
UCCUCCGUGGCGCAAUUGGCUAGCGCGUCGUAAGUUUAACUCCAACACUUCUCGUGACAAAUGGCUUACCAUCCGCAGUGACUGUUAAUCAGGAGGUUGAAAGUUCGAGCCUUUCCGGGGGAG